rnacentral:rRNA from 1 species
UACGAAGGGUGCAAACGUUGCUCGGAAUUACUGGGCGUAAAGGGCUCGUAGGUGGCCAACUAAGUCGGACGUGAAAUCCCUCAGCUUAACUGGGGAACUGCGUCCGAUACUGGAUGGCUUGAGUUUGGGAGAGGGAUGCGGAAUUCCAGGUGUAGCGGUGAAAUGCGUAGAUAUCUGGAGGAACACCGGUGGCGAAGGCGGCAUCCUGGACCAACACUGACACUGAGGAGCGAAAGCCAGGGGAGCAAACGGG